rnacentral:lncRNA from 1 species
AAACCUGAACAGUCCUGAUGGAAACCGCUGGAAAAACAAGUUUGGCUCGGUUUUGACAUUUUCCCCCUGACCAGCUGGAGUGCUGAGAAUGGAGCUCUGCAGAGAAUGUCGUCUGGGCGGCGUCUGACCCCAGGUCUCGGGGCUGUGUGGAGAUUCCUCCCUGGAGCAGGGUCACCCCGUGAGGAUGAGCCACAGAGGUUCAGUUCUUGGAGCAGAUGCUGCACUCACCUCUGUGGACACGCACUGAGCUCUCACUGCAGGAACCCCUCAGGCCUCGGUGGCUGUGAGUUCAUGUUCUUCUCACUGGGGAAUUGAAAUAAUUGCUGGUUAAUUGCAGAAAUGUUUUCUGGAGCCUUUCCCCUUUUGUGUCCCUGUGCUGUGUGGGACAAGGGCAGAGGAGCCUCGGGCUGGAAAGGGGCGGGAGAAGGCAAAGGGACCCCCUGGUGUCCCCAGGGCUCUGUGGGGAACAGAAGGGACACUGUGCGGGCACGGGGAGGUGAGGAGUGACAGUCUGGGGCCAAAUCCCAGCUCAGCCGCAGGGAAAUAAGGGAGGGACAUUUUGGAGGGGAAAGCUGAGGUCAUGAGAUCACCCAGCCUGGCCCAGUUGUGUUCACACAAAGUGGCACCAGAGGCGAAGGUCAGUCCAGAGCCCACCCUGCUCAACCUCUGAGUCCCAGAAUAAAUUCUACAAGCUGCCCAUUGAGGGACUAAAAACACAUGAAAGCAGAACCAAGAGCAACCCAGAAGGUUCCUGGGAAUCCCAUUACAGUGUUGUCACAGCCUUUUUAACAGAGCUGUAAGUUUUUUAUUUCAACACUGCAUUUCUCUGCUGGGAUCAUUCACUCUGGGGGCUGUGGGGACUUUUUGGGUUUGAACUCCCUCCCGGUGGCCCUGACACUGCUCAGGAGCUGGAGGAAAAGUAGAGGCAGCGCUCCUGGCAGGGGCAGGGAGUUUUCCCCCAGAGCAGAUCCAGCAGCUGCCCACCAGCCUGGCCAGGAGGGAUCUGCUUUGGCUCCCGGCUGCUGCAGGGACAGAACGUGUUCAGCUGCUCCAGGUGACAUUCCAGCAGCCUCAUCUCCCAUCCAGGACAAGGCGGUGGCUGGAUGCGCUCCCGGCCUGUGCUGAGGCAGAACAUCUCUCCUGCAGAAGCUCAGCUCCUUUCAGAGCCUCAGCAGUGGCCUCUGCAUGUCCUUUUCCCUCAAGAAAGAGAUGCACAUCCCUGACUGCAGCACACCUCCAGUGGGACCCACCUGCGAGUUUUCCAUCACUUCUGCACUUCCAGCUGGCUCCCUGAAAAAUUCCAAACGUCAUCCCACUCCAACCUCUGAUUUUAGGGCAUCUCCGAGACUAUUGGUUGGCAUUUAAUAUCUGUGAGAGAAGAUUGCCUUGGCUUUAAUGCUGCUGGUGGAUGAUAGCCUCAGGCUGGAAAAGAGGGAAGGGAUUUGGGGUGGCCAGGACAUACCUGGCAGCUGUGUGGGAUCUCUGAACCAGGAAUUGCUGUCUGAGCUGCUCUACAAGCAGCCUGUACCUCCAUUCCCAGGUAAUGCCAGCUGCUCCUUGGGCUUCUGGGCUGUCAGUGGUCUCUGUCCAGACCAAAGCAUCUCCCCAUGCCUGGUCAGAGCAGCCCCUGGCUGAGGAGCCAUGGUGCAGGCACAGCUUCUCCCCUGCAUAUCCCAAGGACAAGAGGUGCUGCUUCCCUUCCAGGGGUUUCUGGCCUUCUCCUGCCCUGCGCUCCCAGCCAGCUGGGACACACUGAGGGAACACCAAGGAACAUUGCUGGCAGUGAGAGGGAGACACCGAGGCCUCUGGGCCAGAAAAGCAGCCCUGGCCUCAGCAGCCACCAUCGUUUAGUCCUGACAACACUCACCUUCAGGCAAUGCCCCCUGCUGCUCUGCAAAAGAACAUCGGCCAUGGAGCAAGGUAACCCUCAGGACUUGUCUCAUUUGCUUCUCCCUGCAAAGGAACAUAGCAUAAGCAAUUUACAGCUGUUGGGUAAAUCCUAGAAAGGGUAGAAGAGUCAGGGUUAUGGGGAAGAGUUUGGUGCUGUCAUGUCAGGUGCUAGCUAGUUCUGCCCUACAGCCAGUGCAGGGGCUGGUGUGUAAAGCAGCAUUAUAAGAAGAAAAGGAGCUGCAUUUGUAUAGGAGUUCCUUACUGGAAGCAGUCAUUCCUAUCCCACCCGUGACCUUUGUCAUGACCUUGACACUUGGAGCAGGGUGCUGAGAAGGCCAAAAUUCUGUGUUCAAUGUGCAGCUGGGCCAGUCGCUUCUCAUCAUUUAACUCCAUGAGCCUCAAGGUACUGGAAAUAAAGAAUU